GACGAACCGUGCGAACGUUGUUCGGAAUCACUGGGCUUAAAGGGCGCGUAGGCGGCUUGUCAAGUCAGGGGUGAAAUCUUUCGGCUCAACCGGAAAAGUGCCUUUGAUACUGCCACGCUAGAGUAUCGGAGAGGUUGGUGGAAUUCUCGGUGUAGAGGUGAAAUUCGUAGAUAUCGAGAGGAACACCGGUGGCGAAGGCGGCCAACUGGACGAAUACUGACGCUGAGACUCGAAAGCGUGGGGAGCAAACAGG
rnacentral:rRNA from 1 species